rnacentral:rRNA from 1 species
GACAGAGGGUGCAAACGUUGUUCGGAAUUACUGGGCGUAAAGCGCGUGUAGGCUGCUUGGAAAGUCGGAUGUGAAAGCCCUGGGCUUAACCCAGGAAGUGCACUCGAAACUUCCGAGCUUGAGUUCUGGAGAGGGUGGCGGAAUCCUCGGUGUAGAGGUGAAAUUCGUGGAUAUCGAGAGGAACACCGGUGGCGAAGGCGGCUACCUGGACAGAAACUGACGCUGAGACGCGAAAGCGUGGGGAGCAAACAGG